GAUGAACGUUGGCGGCGUGCCUAAUACAUGCAAGUCGAACGAAGACUGUAGUAAUACUGUCUUAGUGGCGAACGGGUGAGUAACGCGUGGGUGACCUGCCCCGAAGUGUGGGAUAACAGUCCGAAAGGAUUGCUAAUACUGCAUAAUAUCCAAGAGAUUAGAUGCUUUUGGAUUAAAGGAGUAAUUCGCUUCGGGAGGGGCCCGCGUCCCAUCAGCUAGUUGGUAAGGUAAUGGCUUACCAAGGCGAUGACGGGUAGGGGACCUGAGAGGGUGGCCCCCCACAAUGGAACUGAAACACGGUCCAUACACCUACGGGUGGCAGCAGUAGGGAAUAUUAGUAAUGGGCGAAAGCCUGAACUAGCAACGCCGCGUGUGCGAAGAAGGCCUUCGGGUCGUAAAGCACUUUUUGAGAGGAUGAGGAAGGACGGUACUCUCAGAAUAAGUCUCGGCUAACUACGGUGCCAGCAGCCGCGGUAAUCAUACUGUA
rnacentral:rRNA from 1 species